rnacentral:rRNA from 1 species
GACGAACCGUCCUAACGUUGUUCGGAAUCACUGGGUGUAAAGGGCGCGUAGGCGGCCUCCGCAAGUCAGUUGUGAAAUCUCCGGGCUUAACCCGGAAAGGUCAACUGAUACUGCGGGGCUAGAGUGCAGAAGGGGCAACCGGAAUUCUCGGUGUAGCGGUGAAAUGCGUAGAUAUCGAGAGGAACACCUGCGGCGAAGGCGGGUUGCUGGGCUGACACUGACGCUGAAGCGCGAAAGCUAGGGGAGCGAACGGG